UGAACGCUGGCGGCAGGCCUAACACAUGCAAGUCGAGCGGUAGAGAGAAGCUUGCUUCUCUUGAGAGCGGCGGACGGGUGAGUAAUGCCUAGGAAUCUGCCUGGUAGUGGGGGAUAACGUUCGGAAACGGACGCUAAUACCGCAUACGCCCUACGGGGGAAAGCAGGGGAUCGCAAGACCUUGCACUAUUAGAGCGGCCGAUAUCGGAUUAGCUAGUUGGUGGGGUAACGGCUCACCAAGGCGACGAUCCGUAGCUGGUUUGAGAGGACGACCAGCCACACUGGGACUGAGACACGGUCCAGACUCCUACGGGAGGCAGCAGUGGGGAAUAUUGGACAAUGGGCGAAAGCCUGAUCCAGCCAUGCCGCGUGUGUGAAGAAGGUCUUCGGAUUGUAAAGCACUUUAAGUUGGGAGGAAGGGCAGUUACCUAAUACGUGAUUGUUUUGACGUUACCGACAGAAUAAGCACCGGCUAACUCU
rnacentral:rRNA from 1 species